AUACCUUUUGGUACAGGGACAAGAGGAGAUAGCAACGCGAGCUGGUUAACAGCUCAACUUUAUUCUAGACACCUCCACAAAAAAUAUCUGCUCAUGCAACCUGAGACUCUUUCAGGAAAUUUCAUUUUAAAGUAUCACUCUUGAUAUUGAUGAUAACAUUUAGGAUUAAGGAAGAGAGUCACUCAAGAUCUAAAAGCUCCAAAUGACACUGAUAAAUAAGGUAAGUGAUUCUUCCUCAUCUGCAGAGCAGUCAAGUGUGUAGGAAGUAAGUUACCAAUGCCGGUGAAGAAAGCUAGUCAGGUGUAUGAAGGCAAAUGAGUUUUUGAAAUGUGAUUCUGGUGCCCAAGUCAGAAUACAUGC
rnacentral:lncRNA from 1 species